rnacentral:misc_RNA from 1 species
AACUUUUGGCAAUGGAUCUCUUGGCUCUCGCAUCGAUGAAGACCGCAGCGAAAUGCGCUAAGUAAUGUGAAUUGCAGAAUUCAGUGAAUCAUCGAAUCUUUGAACGGAUCUUGCGCUCCUUGGUAUUCUGAGGAGCAUGCCUGUUUGAGUGUCAUUAAAUUCUCAACUACUCUGACUUGGUGGGGCUUGGAUUUGGGGGUUGUGGGCUUUUUGUAGUCUGCUCCUAUGAAAUUAAUUAGCCGUACCAUGGUGGAACUGUCUACAGGUAUGAUAAUUAUCUACAUCUUAGACGUCUGCUAGAAAGCUGCUUUUUAGACCUUACUUUUAUUGACAAUCUUGACCUCAAAUCAGGUAAAACUACCCGCUGCACUUAAGCAUAUCAAUAAGCGGAGGCU